rnacentral:lncRNA from 1 species
ACAAAUGCGCAGUUCGUUCGAUAUGCCAUACUUCAUCAAAAGGUAUAAACUUAUUACAAAACUUUUAAAUACUUGAACCAAUCGGAGAUAGUAAAAAUCUAAACAAAAAAAACAAACAGAAAAACUCACAUAAAUCAAUCGUAACCAAGUCGAGGUUGAGAAAACUUCCAGUGAAAUUAACUAUCAUAAGUACCGUAUUUGGCCUUUUUGAUGGCGUCCGUGAUAUCCAAUUUUUUGAUUUGACCAUUGGAAAGAUCGUAAAUCCAGCCAUGAACUUGUAAGCCACGCUUUUCCAUUGCUUCACGAACAAAGCCAACCCGGGUUACAGAAAUUGCUUGAGCACGAGUAUUAAGUUCGGCAAGUUUAAGGCGACGAAGUUGGGGAUCUUCAAUGGCGUCAAGUUCUUCACGAUUGUCUUCGAUAACAUCACGGAUGUGUCGCAACCAAUGAUCCAACAAAUUGUUUAAAUUAGGACCAAGAGCAGCAGCGACACCACCGCAUCCAUAAUGGCCACAGACAAUGAUGUGCUUAACCUUUAAUACGGUCACGGAGUACUCCAUAACAGCUAAAGCAUUAAUGUCAGAACGAGGAACGACAUUGGCAAUGUUUCGAUGAACGAAGACUUCACCUGGAAGUAAAUUCAGAAUGGUGGUCUCAGGAACACGAGAAUCUGAACAUCCGAUCCAAAGAACUUGAGGAGUUUGAAUAUCUUUGGUGGCUGUAAAAAAGGAUGGGUACUUUCUGCUAGUUUGUUGUGACCAAGUCAGAUUGCGUUCAAGCAAAUCUUUGAUUUCCCCAUUCUGGUCAAUUUUACCAGCGCCAGAAACGGGAGAAGCGGUUGAAGCUUCUCUGUCGAUUAUCUCGUCUUGAUGAUCGAUUUCCUCAAUACGACGUUUCAAUCUAUCAGGCAUUUUCUUUUUUUUAUCACUUUUCUCUAACAAUUGACUAGACGAAAAAAACAAUCUUUUUCUUCCAAGCGAUGAAAAAGAUAUGGAUUGUAAACAACUAUUAUAAUUACAAGGAAAACGAAUGAAUCUCGAUGUUAACCGCGGAGCCGCUAUUAUCGAGUAGCUGCUACUUUUUAUUUGGUUAAAGGUAGACUGGAGUAUGGUUUUUGGAAGCGGAAUUUUUGUAGUUGUCAAAGCACCGAAUGGUGGGAGCAUGAUACGUUUUUAUACCACACGACAAAAAUGGAAACGUUUGUGAUGUGAGCAAAGCUAUGAUGAUGAACUUUGAUGUAUAGCUAAUACUCCGAUAACAAGCCGUCCCGUCCGUCGAGUAGGUAAGGUUUAUUGGUUUAUCUAUUAUAUAAUGUAAUUUAUUUUGCUAGAUCUUUGCAAGGGACUACCUACGGAUAGUUUUGACGGCUUCGCAGUUAACAAAAAACCGGAUACGAUUGGCUUAAAAUUGCAAAUUGUCCCAAAUAUGAAUAAAAUGUUGACAGCCAUAAAGAUUUCGCAACCGUGCGAAAUUUUUUUUUUCUAAACACAAAAUUAUUGGAGAAGAAUCCGUCAUUUAUCAAUUACGAGUAUAUCGUCUUAUCGUUAUACGUGUUUUCGAUUAAGUUAAUCUAAAAUUAAAUUAAGCGAUAAUUAGGUUUUGUAGAUUGAAACAUUUGUUAACAUGGGCACCGCUGACAUUACUAUAAAAAAAGACGAAAAAAAAACAAUUGCCCAUUGUUACCCAUAAUAGGAGGAAUGAAAUGAAAGUAAAGACAAUUGAGAAAAUUUAUUCAAUAGCUUAUACAGCUAUUUCAAGUCUCGGCCAGUAAGUUAAGCACUUGAAGUUAUAUUUAAACCGUCAGUUUACCAAACAUUAAUAUGUUUGUUUCAAUUCCCAUUGAUAAACUCAAAUAC